GAUGAACGCUGGCGGCGUGCCUAAUACAUGCAAGUCGAGCGAACGGACGAGAAGCUUGCUUCUCUGAUGUUAGCGGCGGACGGGUGAGUAACACGUGGAUAACCCACCUAUAAGACUGGGAUAACUUCGGGAAACCGGAGCUAAUACCGGAUGAUAUUUUGAACCGCAUGGUUCAAAAGUGAAAGACGGUCUUGCUGUCACUUAUAGAUGGAUCCGCGCUGCAUUAGCUAGUUGGUAAGGUAACGGCUUACCAAGGCAACGAUGGAUAGCCGACCUGAGAGGGUGAUCGGCCACACUGGAACUGAGACACGGUCCAGACUCCUACGGGAGGCAGCAGUAGGGAAUCUUCCGCAAUGGGCGAAAGCCUGACGGAGCAACGCCGCGUGAGUGAUGAAGGUCUUCGGAUCGUAAAACUCUGUUAUUAGGGAAGAACAUAUGUGUAAGUAACUGUGCACAUCUUGACGGUACCUAAUCAGAAAGCCACGGCUAACUACGUG
rnacentral:rRNA from 1 species